rnacentral:rRNA from 1 species
GACGAACGCUGGCGGCGUGCCUAAUACAUGCAAGUAGAACGCUGAAGGAGGAGCUUGCUUCUCUGGAUGAGUUGCGAACGGGUGAGUAACGCGUAGGUAACCUGCCUGGUAGCGGGGGAUAACUAUUGGAAACGAUAGCUAAUACCGCAUAAUAGUAGAUGUUGCAUGACAUUUGCUUAAAAGGUGCAAUUGCAUCACUACCAGAUGGACCUGCGUUGUAUUAGCUAGUUGGUGGGGUAACGGCUCACCAAGGCGACGAUACAUAGCCGACCUGAGAGGGUGAGCGGCCACACUGGGACCGGGACACGGCCCAGACUCCUACGGGAGGCAGCAGUAGGGAAUCUUCGGCAAGGGACGGAAGUCUGACCGAGCAACGCCGCGGGAGUGAAGAAGGUUGUCGGAUCGUAAAGCUCUGUUGUAAGAGAAGAACGAGUGUGGGAGUGGAAAGUUCACACUGUGACGGUAUCUUACCAGAAAGGGACGGCUAACUACGUG